ensembl:lncRNA
UUUGAGGGAGCCCAGUUUGAGUCCCACAGCUUUAGGCUAUUGAUUUGUACUAACUAAUGGCCCUUAGAACAAGAAAAGGAGAAGAGCGCCUAGGUUGGGUGUGUGUGUGUGUUAGAGCACUUCCUCUGAAGAAACUAUUAUAUUGUUCACUGGUCAAACAAUGCCACUGUUUUACCAUUUUUAACUAAAGAGCCUAAAGGGAGUUCUGUAUCCGUCUGGAGACACCCAGGAAAUCAACAAUUGGUAGGGUUAGUUUAAGACGAGCAUCUCCAAUAUCUGUCAACAAAUGUAUCUGCAUCUAACAUAUUAAAUGCAAAAACCUUACAUUUGAAUAGUAAAGAACAGGUUUAAAAUGUAAAAUAUUUAAUUAUAAAAACAUUUAACUGGAAUUGAGACGUCUGCAGUAAACUGCUCUGCUCGUCAGCCAGAGACAAUUGAAUGACAGUCUGCAGCCCUCAAACCUUGUAUCUUAGGCAAGUGGAAAGAAAGAAGUUGUGAAGACAUUAAUAGCCAAAAAUGUAUGUCCUUUGCAGUCUGGUACUUACAUAAAACUGUAUUGUGCUACUUUGAAGAUCGUAGCCCAUAGGGACCUUGACCAUCCCUGUAGGGCACAACCAAAGCGGUUUUUGACCCCGUUAUUGUCAACGCCGGCUGUCAAUUGCUUCAACUAAUCUAAAUAUAAGAAAACAUGGAGCUCUAGUUGUUUCAUUAUGAGUCUGGUUAAGGCAAGUAAAGCAUCAAGUUGCUCUGGUUCAGUCUGUUCCACGCUUGUUUUUGGAGUGUACCAUUGUCUUCUAAAAGACGCUGUGUUUUGUCAUCAUUUGUCGCACUUUGAUAUGAUAGUGGGGAGGUAAAACUUGCUUGUGAAGAUCCAUAAAUAAUUCAAGAGGCUUUAUGGGUGUUUUCAGUGAUUGUUUUUUGUGAUCCGUGAGCAGUUAUCUCUGCUCUUCAUAUCUGAGCUUACAUUAGCUACUGUUCUGUUCCUUACAAUUUCAGGAGGAACACAAAAAAAAAAAAAAAAAAAACUCAUGUUCGGCCAUAACUCACAGCCUCGACUCAUACCUGAUAAAUCACACACCUGGCUCAUGUCAGUGAUGCAGUAUUUAAGAGAAAUACAGAUUUAAAAAAGUCUGAGCAAAAGUAAUAAUUACUUAAUACCUGAUCAAUGAGCAAAUCAAUUCAUACAUCAGUACUUAGUAACAGCAAGUAUUCAACUGUAGAUUCUUGUAAUUGGUCAGAAAGAUAAAACAUUGGCAUCCGUGAAUCCCCUCGUACGAAGGAUAAUUACUUUACUGUCAAGCAGUAUCAGAAUGAGGCCAAAUCCUAAAUUGCAUUGCCAUGCUCUGAGUAAAUGACAGAGAUAGGGCAAGCACAAGGAUAGCAAAAUGUGUUUAUCAAUAAAACACAACAGAAGGCUUGGGAACACAGCGCUACACUGGCACUGUAAUCUCAUUUAAAAUUACACACCGCACACAGAUUUUUAAAAACAGGCAACGGGGUUACUCUUAAACGCAGUUGUCUGUGUUAAAAAUCAGCACUCCUUGAGGGGUAUUGUCAUUUGCUAACAUUGCUGAGAAUACUUCUACUGUAUGGUAUAUGUAUGCACUUUUGUUUCUUUCUGGAACUAGGCAUAGUGUUCUCACUCCAGAUUGAGUUUAGUACUGAGACCAGUUGUCAGCAUCACUUUCUGAAGGUAUCCGUCACAUCUUUGAAUGGAUUGCAUUUUAUCCUUCGUAUUGUUUAGUCUCAGUCACAGACAAAUACACAUUUUAUCAUGGGACUAAAACUGCGAGAAUUCCAUUCAAAUGUAUUAGCAUUGCUUCAGUGGCUUGUAGGAGACCUUUUCAUACACAAAACUUAUCCCUACAAGGCCAUUCUAUUUUUUGGUCAAGAUUUUCUAUUUUUUACAAUUAUGCAUACAAGCAGUAGCGUGUGUAUGCAUCUUCAUCGGUUUUCGUUGUAUUUUUGCUUCAGAUAGAUUUGAAAAGUUGGCUUUUUGCAUCUUCGUUCAAAAUCUGUAUAACUUGUAUGAGCUUUAAAGUUCAUGCAAAUCUCUUCUCACUGGAGAAGAGUUAGAUAAAGUAUGACUGUCUGAGGUAGGGGUACCACAGAUGUCAGAUUUGUAAAAUGAGCCAGUGG